rnacentral:rRNA from 1 species
AACGAACGCUGGCGGCAUGCCUAACACAUGCAAGUCGAACGAGACCUUCGGGUCUAGUGGCGCACGGGUGCGUAACGCGUGGGAACCUGCCCUUAGGUUCGGAAUAACUCCCCGAAAGGGGUGCUAAUACCGGAUAAUGUCUUCGGACCAAAGAUUUAUCGCCUUUGGGUGGGCCCGCGUUGGAUUAGCUAGUUGGUAGGGUAAAAGCCUACCAAGGCGACGAUCCAUAGCUGGUCUGAGAGGAUGAUCAGCCACACUGGGACUGAGACACGGCCAAGACUCCUACGGGAGGGAGCAGUGGGGAAUAUUGGACAAUGGGCGAAAGCCUGAUCCAGCAAUGCCGCGUGAGUGAUGAAGGCCUUAGGGUUGUAAAGCUCUUUUACCCGGGAUGAUAAUGACAGUACCGGGAGAAUAAGCUCCGGCUAACUCCGUG